rnacentral:rRNA from 1 species
AGCCUUGUCUAUGUUUAUUACAAACGCUUCAGUUAAAGAAUGUUACUUUGCGUCUAACGCAUUAAAUACAACUUUCAGCAACGGAUCUCUUGGCUCUCGCAUCGAUGAAGAACGCAGCGAAAUGCGAUAAGUAAUGUGAAUUGCAGAAUUCAGUGAAUCAUCGAAUCUUUGAACGCACCUUGCGCUCCUUGGUAUUCCGAGGAGCAUGCCUGUUUGAGUGUCAUGGUAUUCUCAACCUUUAAUGCUUUUUGCAAUGAAGGCUUGGAUUUGGAGGUCGUGUUGGCGCAAGUCAACUCCUCUUAAAUGUAUUAGUGUGAACCUUACGGAUCGCCUUCAGUGUGAUAAUUGUCUACGCUGUGGUGUUGAAGUAUAUUCGUGUUCAUGCUUCUAAUCGUCCGCAUGGACAAACUUUACUUGACAAUCUGACCUCAAAUCAGGUAGGACUACCCGCUGAACUUAAGCAUAUCAAUAAGCGGAGGAAGAUCUUAACGAGUUUUGAAAUGGGUUGUAGCUGG